CGGGAGGCAGCAGUAGGGAAUCUUCCACAAUGGACGAAAGUCUGAUGGAGCAACGCCGCGUGAGUGAUGAAGGUUUUCGGAUCGUAAAACUCUGUUGUUAAAGAAGAACAAGUGUUAGAGUAACUGUUAACACUUUGACGGUAUUUAACCAGAAAGCCACGGCUAACUACGUGCCAGCAGCCGCGGUAAUACGUAGGUGGCAAGCGUUGUCCGGAUUUAUUGGGCGUAAAGCGAGCGCAGGCGGUUUUGUAAGUCUGCUGUGAAAGCCCUCAGCUCAACUGAGGAAGUGCAGUGGAAACUACAAAACUUGAGUACAGAAGAGGAAAGUGGAACUCCAUGUGUAGCGGUGAAAUGCGUAGAUAUAUGGAAGAACACCAGUGGCGAAGGCGGCUUUCUGGUCUGUUACUGACGCUGAGGCUCGAAAGCAUGGGUAGCGAACAGGAUUAGAUACCCUGGUAGUCCAUGCCGUAAAACGAUGAAUACUAGGUGUUGGAGGGUUUCCGCCCUUCAGUGCCGCAGCUAACGCAUUAAGUAUUCCGCCUGGGGAGUACGACCGCAAGGUUGAAACUCAAAGGAAUUGACGGGGGCCCGCACAAGUGGUGGAGCAUGUGGUUUAAUUCGAUGCUACGCGAAGAACCUUACCAGCUCUUGACAUCUUCUGCCAACCCAAGAGAUUGGGCGUUCCCUUCGGGGACAGAAUGACAGGUGGUGCAUGGUUGUCGUCAGCUCGUGUCGUGAGAUGUUGGGUUAAGUCCCGCAACGAGCGCAACCCUUAUUAUUAGUUGCCAGCAUUUAGUUGGGCACUCUAGUGAGACUGCCGGUGAUAAACCGGAGGAAGGUGGGGACGACGUCAAAUCAUCAUGCCCCUUAUGAGCUGGGCUACACACGUGCUACAAUGGAUGGUACAACGAGUCGCGAAACCGCGAGGUCAAGCUAAUCUCUUAAAGCCAUUCUCAGUUCGGAUUGCAGGCUGCAACUCGCCUGCAUGAAGUUGGAAUCACUAGUAAUCGUGGAUCAGCAUGCCACGGUGAAUACGUUCCCGGGCCUUGUACACAC
rnacentral:rRNA from 2 species